rnacentral:rRNA from 1 species
CUACGGGGGGCUCCAGUGAGGAAUAUUGCACAAUGGAGGAAACUCUGAUGCAGCAACGCCGCGUGGAGGAUGACGCAUUUCGGUGUGUAAACUCCUUUUAUAUGUCAAGAAAAUGACGGUAGCAUAUGAAUAAGCACCGGCUAACUCCGUGCCAGCAGCCGCGGUAAUACGGAGGGUGCAAGCGUUACUCGGAAUCACUGGGCGUAAAGGACGCGUAGGCGGGAUAUCAAGUCAGGUGUGAAAUCCUACAGCUUAACUGUAGAACUGCACUUGAAACUGGUAACCUAGAGUAUGGGAGGGGGAGAUGGAAUUAGUGGUGUAGGGGUAAAAUCCGUAGAUAUCACUAGGAAUACCUAAAGCGAAGGCGAUCUCCUGGAACAUAACUGACGCUAAGGCGUGAAAGCGUGGGGAGCAAACAGGAUUAGAUACCCCCGUAGUC